GUGCCAGCAGCCGCGGUAAUUCCAGCUCCAAUAGCGUAUAUUAAAGUUGUUGUGGUUAAAAAGCUCGUAGUUGAACCUUGGGCCUGGCUGGCCGGUCCGCCUCACCGCGUGCACUGGUCCGGCCGGGCCUUUCCCUCUGUGGAACCCCAUACCCUUCACUGGGCGUGGCGGGGAAACAGGACAUUUACUUUGAAAAAAUUAGAGUGCUCCAGGCAGGCCUAUGCUCGAAUACAUUAGCAUGGAAUAAUAAAAUAGGACGCGCGGUUCUAUUUUGUUGGUUUAUAGGACCGCCGUAAUGAUUAAUAGGGACAGUCGGGGGCAUCAGUAUUCAACUGUCAGAGGUGAAAUUCUUGGAUCAGUUGAAGACUAACUACUGCGAAAGCAUUUGCCAAGGAUGUUUUCAUUAAUCAGGAACGAAAGUUAGGGGAUCGAAGACGAUCAGAUACCGUCGUAGUCUUAACCAUAAACUAUGCCGACUAGGGAUCGGACGGUGUUAUUCAUGACCCGUUCGGCACCUUACGAGAAAUCAAAGUGCUUGGGCUCCAGGGGGAGUAUGGUCGCAAGGCUGAAACUUAAAGAAAUUGACGGAAGGGCACCACCAGGGGUGGAGCCUGCGGCUUAAUUUGACUCAACACGGGGAAACUCACCAGGUCCAGACACAAUAAGGAUUGACAGAUUGAGAGCUCUUUCUUGAUUUUGUGGGUGGUGGUGCAUGGCCGUUCUUAGUUGGUGGGGUGACUUGUCUGCUUAAUUGCGAUAACGAACGAGACCUUAACCUGCUAAAUAGCCCGCAUUGCUCCGGCAGUGCGCUGGCUUCUUAGAGGGACUUUCGGCUC
rnacentral:rRNA from 1 species